UGAAAAUUACGUUCUGAAACAUUUCGAGCUAAUUUUUUGUACGAAAAAAAAUGGCAACACUGAUUUUUAUGAUAUCUCCAGAAAGCGUUUCAAAACCUCUAAUUAUUGGGAAAAGUUUCAUUUUAGUAGGUAUCGCGGUUAUCGAGUAAUCCACUGCUGAAAUGGAUGAUAUAGUACUUAUUCAACUUCAUUAAAAACUUUGACAUCCCCUAGCAGCCUUUCAAAAAGGGCUAGAGGACUGCGAUUUGCGCCAUUGGUCAUCCCUUCGAAAAGUCUUUCCAGUUUCCACAGGAAAAAUUUGAAAAAAAUCGCCGCUCCCCACCCUCAAAUACCACUUCUUGGUCGAAUUGACGUGGAAUGACCCUUUUUGUUAAUGACAUCCUAGCAUAUCACAGCUGUUCAACAAAAAUAUUAAAAUUCACUAAAAAUCGAAAAAUCAUUUCUGAAACUGGGGAAAUAUUUUGGAAUGCAAUGGUAUCAAAUUUUUUGGUCAUUAUUUCCAAUUUCACAAAUCAAUGAAAUGUUAUUAGGUAAUGAAAAAAAAAAAAAAUUUUAAAUUGAUGAUUAAAAAUAAAACCUAUAAGUACGAAUAAAGUCCAGUGCCACCAUAUGCAGUAGUUGAGCUUUUUUUCGAGGAAAAUUCACUCUAAAAAAUAUACAGAAAUGAAAUUGGUUACAAUUUUUUACAAAACUUCACGUGAUCGAUUGAAUGCCUAUACAUUAAGUUUAGUUGGUGGGUUGGCAUUUGUGUGAUACGUUUUGUAUCACGUUUAUUACAAAUAAAUCAAAACAUUUUCGAAAGCCGAAUUGUGUGAGAUUUUUUUUAUUAUGUCGACCAUUGUGUAUAGCUAUAUUCACCAGCUUCAUUGUAAUUCAAUAGAACAUCUAUGAUUCUUAAUGUCUUCAGUUUGCGUUCUAUAUGAAUACUAAUAUCGAUAUCGUAGAUAUUUUUCCAGCUAUAUUCGUAUUGAUUAUACGCGUUGAAAUUCGGCCUCUUGGCCAACACUAGCAUGAGAAGGGAAGGAGGGAAGGGUGAAUUUGGUGGAGUUUUAAUGAAAUAAUGCGUACACGUGUGGUGUGCUAUCCAUCAGAGGAAAGAUAUUCGCGUGCACCAAUUAAAUAUAUCAUUUUUGCCUCCGAUUGUAUCUGCAAAUGUAGGUAAUUUUAUGGGCCUCAAUGAACAAAGUUGGUAUGCUUACGAAACAUUAUCGCAUCGUCGGUGUAAAUGUAUCAUUCUAAUUAUAGCCGCGUAUAUACACAAAAAUUGGUUAAUUUUUUACUUCUCUCUUAGGCUUAGGUCUGCCAUCCAUGCAACUCGACCAUGCUCGAACGAAAGGCUUGUCAUUUACAUUUAAAAUUAAUUACCGUAUUGUGGCAUCGCUUGUCAAAUGAGUCUACUGCGUAUACCUAUAGAAGAUGGCUGUACCUUUUGUGAGGUAUCUUUGUUCUUUUUCGGUUUCACACCUUCGUAUUGUUCUAAGUUUACUAUUUCUUCUCUUCUUCGUUCUGCUAAUUUACUCGUCAUUGGAUCCCCGCGGCAAGCCUUUUUAGUCUCGAGUUCUCGCAGCAAACGUUUGGUUAUUUAACUCGGUGUUCUGUAGGCUGAAACAUUGUAUUGAACCUGAACGUUUAAGUAGCUUGAAAAGACACGAGUAUCUGGUCGAGUGUUUUUAUAAAGAAUUUCAAAUGUAUUGUGGUCGUGUCAGAUGUUUCAUCGUAAGGAAGCACCUUUUUGCGAUGUAGGCGAAAAGUCACUUACCUUUGAAAUAACAUCGCGAAUAAGUACAAACCUUUGAUAUUGUUUUUCAUAUAGGUGGGAUAUUGCUGCAAAAAAAAAAAAAAAAAAAAAAGCUAUAGGUACCAAGAAAUUCCCCAAUGGAGCAUUCGCAUCUCGCAUCGUGUUGUGAUAACUAAGUAAACAAAAGCCGCUUAACGUUUAUAACAAUAUCAUCAUUAUCGAAAUCAUAGCCUCUAAAAGGUAGCUUAAAACCAGGAUACAUUUCCCCAGCGUCAUUUACCCUAAACGUAUUAUAAGAAGGAAAUGUUUAACAUAUGUAAUUACCUUAUGGAUGGAUGAGUUGGGAUUUAAAAACACGCGUAAAUGAACUUUAAUGGAAAUUUUAGCUUUUCUAUGGUUAUUGGUGCGUUAUCGCUUAGGCCAAGUGUGUACCGGUUAGUGACAGAAACGAGCAAAGUUUUACUCCAAAACGUUCAAUUCUGGUGUACGUUUCACCGUGCAAGCGAAUAAAUUAAACCUCUUAAUAGACUGGAAUUUUAUGUUGUGGUUAAAAUGUGCGAAACGCCUAUUUUAAAGGUUCGCGUGUUCAUUUUUUUCUUCCAUCCUACGUAAAUUCUUCUUUCUCAGUUCGGGGUCUUUGCUUUUUUCCCCCUCUGUGUUUCUGGGUUAUUUCUUUCCUCAUCUACGGCGUUAAUCCCAAAUCACCAUGUUAUCAAUGUUUGAAUACACCAUCAUUGGUCAUAAUAUUAUAGUUGGCAAAGUUUCACCGAAUAUUGAAAAAAAAAGAAGCAAAAAGCAAACGAACUUGGUAAAAAGUUGAAUAGUUGUAACGUAACUGUUAACCCUAGAGGGACUUCGAUUCAAGUUUGAAGUUGUGCAUUAUUCUUUUGAUAGUUAUUCGCAAUGAAUGGAUACGUUAUAGACGCUUCAAGCUACGUGUAUUGGUGCUGUCAUUCAACUUUGAAAUGAAAAAAAAAGAGAGGUAUCAGCAAAUAAAAAUAAUUUACAACUGCAUUUUAAGAGGGAAAAAAGUUAUUCGAAUUUUCGUAUGGGUAAAAUCGUAUACAUAUGAGCAUAGGUAAUACAGUAUGUUCCAAAAGUCGAAAAUUUUCAUUUUUUUUUUUAGAAAAAACGUUGGUAGGUACUUAUCGAAAUUUUCAUGCGUACAUAAUGUAAAUAGUCAACAAAAAUAUGUGCACGAUCGUGGUGUUAUCGAAAUAAAACGCACGAAGUAAAAUGGAAACACUUUUAUUUUGAAUUACUUAAAAUACUAAAACAUUAAAACUUUAAAAACUUGAAUUUAUAUCGGAUUAAACUGUUUUAAAAAAACUGAAUUAGAACUUGUAACUGAUUUGAAGACUGAAUUAAGAACUUACCAAUUUUUAUAAAAUAAUGUGUGCUUUUGGUGGGAUUUCCUUUAAAUUCUCAAGUUCUAAUUAAUUUUACUCUAGAAAUAGCCUUCAUUUAUAUAAAAAAUCAAGGAAUAAUAAGUUGAAAGGUUAAAAAAAGUAAGAUAAUCCAAUCAGUAAAUAAAAAUAAUGAAAGUAAUUGAAAAUCAUGAAAGGAUAAUGAAAAGUCUAAAAGUCAAAUGUAAAUAACCAGUUGAAAGGUCAAUAAAAUAAUCCUAUAUGUAAAUAUAAAUUACGAAAGUAUAAUAAGUAAAAAUGAAAAGUCUAAAAGUAAAAGUCAAAAAGUUCGCGCGAUAACGGGUCUAAAUAAUUUCAACCACCGUGAUUCAUCAUGAAAAGAGUAGGCUCCCUUGACUCGCAGAGCUGUUGUGAUGAAAUAAAUCAAUGGAUCUUCAAAGCUAUAUCAGAAGAAAGCUGGAAAAUCGCAGUGUAUAGUAGAUAAGUAUGGUACAGCAAAGAACGUGAGUAUGGAUAUUUUUUAAUACACCACCAUCGUAUGUAUUUAUUCAUUGUGUGGUUAACCAAAUUUCAAAAAAAUUCACUUUGGAUACAUCAAAUUACCUACAAGGUCGAAAAUACUCGUAAGUGAGCAUAACACUUUCAUCACUCCGAAGACCAUUUCGCUGAAUAAAUUUUUAUUGAUCGUGUUUUCUUUUACAAAAUAUUACUGUAUCUUCGGAUCUAAUUUCCUUAAUUGACAUUCUCCGGAUAAAAUUUCUCCCGAAUGAAUUUUCUCGAAAAAUUUCAUUUUCAGAGGUUAGAAUUCUUUGCCUAAUUUUGUUUGACAAAAAGCGAGUCUAUAGGUAGAAAUUCUAGCAAUAUUUUUGAAAUAACAACUCAAUGCUUUUAAAAACCAUAAAUAAUACCAAUCAUUAAGCAACAUAUAGCGUAGGGGUGUUUUUUUCGGUUUUUACGACGACAUAAAAAAAUCGCAUUCAACAAAUAGUUUUGUUUUUGUGCAAGCCAAUUAUAUAAUAUCUACUCGUAUCUAUGUGUACAGAACACGCGUCAGUCAAACGGAGUGCGAUAAACAAAAAAUGUCGAUGUAUAAAAUUUUUUUACAACUUCAAUAUCCUUCAAAGAGAGUAAACUAGGAAAAAAACUAGCAAACGUAUCAAAAUUUUUAUGCACCAUUAAACAAACAUUACUCUCCUAUACUUGGGCCAAAAGUCAAUAAAACUUUUCGCCACACAGUGCAACGUUGAAGAAAUUCGAAAUUUUUUUCCCCAAGACCUAUGUUUAACUACAUUUUGAUUAAGCUCGAUGGGUAUACGGAACAUAUACGGUUAAGUCUGAGAAAAAGUUUAAUAUCUACAUGUAUAUCGAAGUCGAAGAAAUUUCAAACUUGCAAUCUCUUAUGGUUUCCUUUUUGUACUUUUUUGAGUAAGAUAUGGAAGAGUUUGGUCAUUUUUAUCGAUAAGAAAAAGUAAAAAACUGCUGCUGCAAUAAGAAAUAAAAAAAUGAUAGAAAUAUAAACACGAAAAUACACUUAGGUACCAUUGAAACAAGUCGGGAAAAUUUUUAAGCGCCAGUUGUUUUCAUAUUUUUAUUGUGUGAAACGCAAGUCGUAAUAAUUUCAUUAUCGUAAUUUUUAUCAAUUUUAAAAACUGUACCAACUUCGUUUUUGCUGGCUGCAGGCGAAAUGAUUUUCUCGUAUUAGUGGCGCAUUCAGAUCGUAAAACUAUUAUUUGAAAUUUCUUACGAUUGUAAUUGUAUCAUUGAAAGGUACUAAACUUUAUGGAAGAAUAUGAGAAUUUUUUUGUGUAGAUACUUAUGGUAUAGAUUUUUGUAGAUAUUGAAUUAGUGUGUAAAAAUCGUAAUCUCUGAGUAGGUAUCUACUCACGACCUAAUCUUAUUUUAUACUAUGUAUUGACUCAGUUUAUUCAUUUUGUUUUCAUUUUUUAUUUUUUUUUUAAACUACUGUAAGUACCUGGUGAGAGAUUUUUUUAUGUGAAAAAAGCACAGAAUUUUAAUUAUGUACCAAAAUAUUAUAUUUUAAUAUUAUUUGUAUAAAAACCUAAAAUAUUUGUGUAUAGGCUUACUUACCUAUUAUUUUAAUGAAUUGACAAGAUGUAUCAACUACUAAUUAUAACCUAUUUGCAAUAAAAUAAAAUAUAAUGUCAUCUACUUAUACUUAAGCAUUGGGUGAAGAAGUUUCCACCAUCACAGAGCAAUUCACAACUUUUUCAAUUGUUCAGCAUCCCGAGAAAAACUGUAACAUUUUCGUAUGUCUUGCUCAUUAUUUUUCGAUGCACCUAGUACCUCUACUCGUACCUACUCGUAGUUCAAAGAUUCAAGGAGUCAGCUGGAUAUCAAAGGAUAAGGAUACGCAACCAGCAUUCAGUAGUUUCUGCUGGAAAAAUCUCGGCAGUAUUUUCAUAUUUCUACUCGACAGAAUGGGUUUCUUACGAUAUCAGCGAUUUUCUUGACGACUUGUUAUUCAGCACUCUUGACUGCAUAUACCAUCAAUCGUUAUUUGCUGGUUUACGUAAAUUUCUGAUCGUGAGCCCAAGCAUACCCCCAUAAAAUGGAGAAUGGAUCAGAAAACUAUCAUUUUGAAACGAAGUGUGACAUCUGUGAUAUCAUAUAGGAGUUAUGGUACCUACUCAUUGCCUCAUGAACCUUUGCAUUUAGGUAUUCUUAUUCAAACUGUCAUUCAUGUGGGAGAUUUCACUAGUAUUUAUGGUUGAUACUUUUGGUAAUGCUGAGAGACAAUUCAAUUUUGUGCAGAUUGGAUCUCCUAGUAACAAAAGUCCCCGAAGGAUUAUCGAAUCUACUGACAGGUUUCCUCAUAUUGUUUGGCUCUAAAUAGGUACCCGUUAUUCAAACAGCUAAAGACUCCUUUCAAAGACAAAGAAACAAAGUAAUUCAGUGAGCUUAUGAAGAAGUGCAGAAAGAUGGUUGAAAUUGGUUGUAUGUACGAGUUCAAAGAGCCAGCUUCUGCAGAUUUCCUACCGAAUGAGAUGCUGUUUCUUCUUGCAUUACAUAGUACGAGUAUUUUUGCAUAAAAUUGGUGAUGUUGAAGUACCUAAAAUUGAUCCUGAGAUGAAUGAUGAUUUCCUACUCAAAUACUCAUGUUUGACAAAUCGAAAAAAAUAAAAUAAAUAUGUAGGUAUAUUUACCUAGUGUGUGAUACUUUGUAAGCUUCAGUUAUCAGAUUAUUGUCUUAAUAAGAGCGUGGUUGUGUAAACUUCUACAUAUUUAAUAAAAAUAUUGCGUUGCGAUUAACUUGUUAAUUGUUGGUAAUUCAUUAGCCGAAUUUAUUAAUUGUUUGUGUGUUUACGUUACGUACCUACUUUUAAUGUUGUAGUUGAAUUUUUAAAUAGGAUACUGAAAAUUUAUUAAGUGUAUGUACAUGUAACUGCAGUACUGUUAACAAUUUAAUUUUUUAUAUGUACAAUGAAAUAACGCGUUCAUUUUCAUUUCAACUCAAAAAAGGCGCAAAAAAUAAAAUUUUUAACCA